AGAGUUUGAUCAUGGCUCAGGAUGAACGCUAGCGAUAGGCUUAACACAUGCAAGUCGAGGGGCAGCGCAAAGAUUAGCUUGCUAAUUUUGGCGGCGACCGGCGGAUGGGUGAGUAACACGUAUGCAACCUACCUUUAACACGGGCAUAACCCGGAGAAAUCCGGACUAAUUCCCGAUAAUACAGGGGCUCCGCAUGGAGAUAUUUGUUAAAGAUUUAUUGGUUAAAGAUGGGCAUGCGCUCCAUUAGUUAGUUGGUGAGGUAACGGCUCACCAAGGCGACGAUGGGUAGCCGGCCUGAGAGGGUGAACGGCCACACUGGAACUGAGACACGGUCCAGACUCCUACGGGAGGCAGCAGUGGGGGAUAUUGCACAAUGGAGGAAACUCUGAUGCAGCGACGCCGCGUGAGCGAAGAAGGUCUUCGGAUCGUAAAGCUCUGUCCUAAGGAAAGAUAGUGACGGUACCUUAGGAGGAAGCCCCGGCUAACUACGUGCCAGCAGCCGCGGUAAUACGUAGGGGGCGAGCGUUAUCCGGAAUUAUUGGGCGUAAAGGGUUCGCAGGCGGCCUUGUAAGUCAGAUGUGAAAGACAGCGGCUUAACCGUUGUAAGCAUUUGAAACUGCAGGGCUUGAGUACAGGAGAGGAAAGCGGAAUUCCUAGUGUAGCGGUGAAAUGCGUAGAUAUUAGGAGGAACACCAGUGGCGAAGGCGGCUUUCUGGACUGAUACUGACGCUGAGGAACGAAAGCGUGGGGAGCAAACAGGAUUAGAUACCCUGGUAGUCCACGCUGUAAACGAUGAGUGCUAGGUGUUGGGGGUCGAACCUCAGUGCCGCAGUAAACGCAUUAAGCACUCCGCCUGGGGAGUACGGUCGCAAGACUGAAACUCAAAGGAAUUGACGG
rnacentral:rRNA from 1 species